GGAGGUGGCUCUGGUCCUGGCCACCGAGACUUUCAUUCGGAUAGGUCAUCCGUAGUAAAAACAAACCUCUCUCUCUCUCUCUCUGAAAUGUCGAAUUUUCUGAUAAAGGUGAUAAUUUCUCUGCUCGUUCUCUCAGUUGCUCCUCUCAAAUCAGUUGCGGAGUUUGAGCAAUGGUGCAUCGCCGACGAGCAGAUGCCGGACAGCGAGUUGCAGGCAGCAAUGGAUUGGGCUUGCGGGGGAGGAGGAGGUGCAGAUUGUAGCAAGAUUCAGGUGAACCAAGCUUGCUAUUUCCCUAACACUCUGAAAGACCAUGCUUCCUAUGCAUUCAACAGCUACUUCCAAAGAUUCAAACACAAAGGUGGAUCUUGCUACUUUAAGGGUGCUGCUCUAAUUACAGAACUUGAUCCAAGCCAUGCCUCUUGCCACUAUGAGUUUAUUCCUUGAUUGCAAGAUUCCAAAUGCCCAUUAGUAAAUUUAAAUUGAAGAUUGCUGCUAUGGAAGCAUAUGUCCCGCAGAAAUUUACUCAGAAAACAUUCCAAAGUGAGGUUAUAUUCAGCUUUCAAACAUGCGUCUUUCUGACCUGAUAACUAGUAUCACGUCACCGCCCAACUCUCUCAACGGGCCUUUUUUUUUCGCAAUACUUAAUAAGGUCUCAUGUCAAUGAAAUUAAUUAACUCAAUUCCUGGUAAAAUUAAAUGUGCCAAGACCUCUUAUAUUUGAAUGCAAGAUUCAAGGCAGUAGUGCAAGUGCAAGACUCCAGUA